UUUAAGCAUAUAACUAAGCGGAGGAAAAGAAACUAACCAGGAUUCCCCCAGUAACGGCGAGUGAAGCGGGAAGAGCUCACGUUGUAAAUCUGCCUUCGGGCCGAAUUGUAGUCUGGAGAGGCGUGGCCAGCCGCAGCCGGGGGCGAAGUCUCUUGGAAAAGAGCAUCAAGGAGGGUGACAAUCCCGUUCUUGCCCCCAGGGUGUGUGCGUACGGUCCGUUUUCUAAGAGUCGAGUUGCUUGGGAUUGCAGCUCAAAGCGGGUGGUAAAUUCCAUCUAAAGCUAAACACGGGUGGGAGACCGAUAGCGAACAAGUACCGUGAGGGAAAGAUGCAAAGAACUUUGAAAAGAGAGUUAAAGAGUGCCUGAAAUUGCUGAAAGGGAAGCGAAGGAAACCAGUGUCUGGCGUCGAAGCUUUCCCUCUGCCCCUCGGGGCUCUGGGUCGCGUCUUCGCCGUGGCCAGGGUCGGGUAUGGUUGCGGGAGCCUGCGCCUCGGAAGGUAACCUCUCUUCGGAGGGUGAAGACCGUGGCGUGUCGUCGCGACUGUGGCCGGCUCUGACGAAAUGGUUUUCUUUACCCCGUCUUGAAAACACGGA
rnacentral:rRNA from 1 species